rnacentral:lncRNA from 1 species
UUUAGGUGUACAACAUAGUGACUCAAUAUUUGUAUGUAUAUACUGAGAAAUGAGCACCAAAAUAAGUUCAGUUAACAUCCAUCACCACACAUCGUUACAAAUUUAUUUUUUCUGCAACACAGGAUCUGAGCCAUGUCUGUGACCCAUACCACAGCUCACGGCAAUGCCGGAUCCUGAACCUACACAGCGAGGCCAGGGAUCAAACACGCAACCUCAUGGUUAUUAGUUAGAUUCGUUUCUGCUGCGCCACAAUGGGAACUCCUAUUUUUUCUUAUUUUGAAGACUUUUAAAAUCUACUCUCUUAGCAACUUACAAAUAUAAAAUACAGUAUUAUUAACUAUAGUCACUAGGCAUUACUAAAUAAAAACUGCAUCUUAAGAAUUAGGAAGAGGGAUCUUAGAAACAUUUAGCCCAAUGCCUCUCAAACUUUAACGUGUGAGUCCCCAAGGACAUUCUAAUAAAAUUCAGACUGUGAAUCUAUAAGUGUGGAGUGGGCCUGAGAUUCUGAAUUCGAACAAGCUCUAGGUGAUGAUGAUGCUGCCGGUCCAGGAACCAUGCACCAGGUACCAAGGCUCCAGUCAAGCCUAAUGGAGAUCCCCUAGCUUCUGCUAGGGAAUCUCUAGUGACCAGGAGCUGAAACCUCCACCAGGAGACAUGGCAGAGAUCUGACUUGUGGAGCAACAAAGAAAGUUGGCUUCCUCUUCUAAUGAUGGAAGAUAUCCUUUAUUUUCCUAUAGCUCCUCUUCUCCAAGCUAAACUUCCCUACUUCUAUGGGAAGUAGAAGUGGCCAGUUUCCAGAUCCCUAUACAUCUUGAUCACAGAGGAUGCUCCCUCCAUGAUCAACAUCUUCCUUUCAAAAGUCCCUCGGGAUGGGGGUGGGUAGUAUUCCAUACAUGGGACAGCCAGGCCCGUGACUAGGUGAGCAAGAGCAUUGUAUUACCCCAUCUAAAUGGGACAGCUUGCUUAACUGCUCUACGGAAGUGUCACCUUCUUUAAUAACCAAAGACCACACUGCACUGGCAGAUCACAAUCUUGUAGAGAAAUUGGUACCAAGCAGGUGUGCAAAUUCUGUACUCAGUUUUUUUUUUAACCCAAAUGUAGGAAUUUACAUUUAUUCCCAUUAAAUGUCAUCUUGCUACUUUGGGCUUGGCAUUUUCUGAGGUAAUUUUAAAAUAACAGAUCAAAUCAGAAAUAUUUUCAGAAAAUAACAACUCACAAAAUCCAUUUGAAAAUUUACUAUCUAAUAUGCAGUAUGUAUACACAUAUACAUAAAAACACAUAUGGUUAAAAAUAAUUAUGAAAAAGAACAUCCUUGGGACCACCGUUUGAGCUGGAAAGUAAAACAACUGUCUGGACCUUGGAAGUUCUAGAGUCCUUUCCCCACCACGUACCACUCCAUUGCCUCUGGAGGUAACCCCUAUACUGAUUUUUUUUUUUUUUUUUGGUCUUUUGCCUUUUCUAUGGCCACACCCUUGGCAUAAGGAAGUUCCCAGGCUAGGGGUCGAAUAGGAGCUGUAGCCGCCGGCCUACACCACAGCCACAGCAACAUGGGAUCCGAGCCACAUCUGCAACCUACACCACAGCUCACAGCAACGCCAGAUCCUUGACCCCACUAAGCGAGGCCAGGGAUUGAGCCUGAGAUCUCAUGGUUCCUAGUCACGAGGGGAACUCCUAUUGUUUUGGUUUUUUUUGUCUUUUGUAUACUGAUUUCGUGUGUGUGUGUGUGUGUGUGUGAUAAUCAUUCUCUCAAUUUUCUGUAUUGCUUUAAUAUUUAUAUAUACAGCCCUAAACUAUAAUAGGGAAGAACAAAUCUGACUCCAUAUGGGAUCUUUUACUUUAACCUUUGUAUCCUAUUGCUUCUGCUACAAGUUCAUGAAAGGGAGGUUGCCUAUCAGCUUAAAUUAUACAUAACGACCCAACU